rnacentral:rRNA from 1 species
UACGAAGGGGGCUAGCGUUGCUCGGAAUCACUUGGGCGUAAAGGGUGCGUAGGCGGGUUAUUAAGUCAGAGGUGAAAUCCUGGAGCUCAACUCCAGAACUGCCUUUGAUACUGAUAGUCUUGAGUAUGGGAGAGGUGAGUGGAACUGCGAGUGUAGAGGUGAAAUUCGUAGAUAUUCGCAAGAACACCAGUGGCGAAGGCGGCUCACUGGCCCAUUACUGACGCUGAGG